rnacentral:rRNA from 1 species
GGAUUAGAUACCCUGGUAGUCCACGCCCUAAACGAUGUACACUAGUUGUUGCCAUACUAGAUAUGGCAGUAAUGCAGUUAACACAUUAAGUGUACCGCCUGGGGAGUACGGUCGCAAGAUUAAAACUCAAAGGAAUAGACGGGGACCCGCACAAGCGGUGGAGCAUGUGGUUUAAUUCGACUAUACGCGAAGAACCUUACCUGGACUUGACAUAGUAAGAACUUUCUAGAGAUAGAUUGGUGUCUGCUUGCAGAAGCUUAUAUACAGGUGCUGCACGGCUGUCGUCAGCUCGUGCCG